UAUACACUCACACAGAGGUAAAUUCAAGGUCACUGCACGAACCAGAAGGAACACCGACGACGAAGAAAUGAUUAUUAGCUAUUAUGGCCUUUUUGUGUGUGUGCGCGCCGGGACUCACGGAAAGAGAAGAUAGCGCGCGUGAACCGCAACAUACAUAUAAAAGUUAACUAUCUCCGCAGCAGAGAGCCAUGUUCCGCUAUAACCGAGUCAAACCAUUUCGGUCGGUUUCUUCUUCUUCUUCUUCCAGCACUUUCCUCGUUUUCACGCGGAACCCGCCACCAGCAGCAGCAGCAGACGGUGAACAGCAACAGCAGUAGUCGAGGAAAAACCCGAUUAAGAGUGUGACGUGACCGACCGUCGUCGUGUCAUCAUCGGCACCACAAACCGCGCAACCCAUUCUCCCUGCUGACUGCUGCUGCUAUACAGCGAAGUCUGGUAUCAAUUAAAAAGUAUAUUGGAUAUCUUUUUCUGUCUGACCGGAAGGCGAGAGUCAAUCACUGCGUGACUUGUGCGUUCGGCACCGGUUCAUUCCACUUUUUCUUGUUGUUAUAUUUCCUUUGGGUAAUUAUAUAGUCGACAUUGUGUUGUGUGGACUGGCCGGAGCUGGAUCUUGGUUUUUUUAGGCCUAUAUUGCGUCCAGCAUUAUUUCAGCUGCGGCCUACCACCGCCCAUUAUAUUAUUACAUUCGAUUCACAUGUGUGUUGUUGUCCGUUUCCAGUUGUUUCCUGAAUGGUUAACCAAGGGGGGACAAUGUCUACGACCUUAUUAUUACGACAUCACUUUCUAACCUCAAUUAUAACUGAACAAUGCUAUAUCUCUUUUUACUUUUAGAUCUAGUAUAUUACAGCCUAUGCCAGCUGUAUAAAUAUAAUUUGGUGUGUGUAUACUAGAUAUCCAGACGGCUAAUACAGUUAUGAUAAUUCGUCAUGUGUGUGUGUGUUCUGUGGGUUUCUUCUGAUCUAUUAAUUUUUCAAGGUUUAUGGUUCCACGAUCCAAAACUCUCCCUCUCUGUGUGUGCUGUGUGUCUAUAAUUUCAUUU